rnacentral:rRNA from 1 species
UGGUGGAGUGAUUUGUCUGGUUAAUUCCGUUAACGAACGAGACCCCAGUCUGCAAAAUAAUGGUGUUAAUGUUUUCAUUGGCAGCCAUUUCUUUGAGAGACAUGUAGUUCUUAAACUACAGGAAGAGUGGGGCAAUAACA